AAAGUCGUAACAAGGUUUCCGUAGGUGAACCUGCGGAAGGAUCAUUCAUAAUCAAGUGUUUUUAUGGCACUUUAAAAAUCCAUAUCCACCUUGUGUGCAAUGUCAUCUCACUUGGGUCACGGCUGUAAAACGCCGGCAGCCCGUUUGGAUUUAUAUCUACUCAGAAUUUUAAUCAUUUUGUCUGAAACAUAUUAUGAAUAACUUAAUUCAAAAUACAACUUUCAACAACGGAUCUCUUGGCUCUC
rnacentral:misc_RNA from 1 species